UGCAUUUCCUUCUAGGUCGUU
ensembl:piRNA 21ur-4029 ncRNA